rnacentral:lncRNA from 1 species
GAUGAAGAUGAUCUAUGAUGAUAGAGGUGAUGCCGAAUCGUAGAAUAUGGACGGAGUUGCAGGUUUUGACGAGAUAUAUGGUGAAGAACGGUGUCGUGGGCCGCCGGAGAAGAUAACCGGAGACCGGAGGUGAGGAGGGUGGUCGGGGGAGUAAUGGAGAAACAGUGGUGAUCAAGAUGACGAUGAUGGUUAUGUUACUGGAGGUGACAGUGAAGGUCGAGGAGAGUAAGGAGACGGUGGCCGGAGGUGAUGACGAAAGUGGAGGUGGGGUCGCCGGAAAUGAAGAUGAACGGAAAUGAGAGACGAUAGCGGUGGUCGGAGGAGACGGUGGUGAUUGACGAUGUUCGGGUGUACGGAGUCGAUGUUCGGUGGACGACGGAGUGGUGACGAAGGGUGUCAAAGAUCGGAGAUGGAUGACGGCGAAGACAGACGGUGAUGUGCAGGAAGAAUGAUGAACAAUGGAUAGAAUGAAUGUUGAAGAUAAAACUGUGAACUGGUGUUUCGGAUGAUUUCGGAAGAAUCUGUAGUUGAUCUCGGAUGAAAAAUUAUGGAUCACGGAUGAAAGACUAUGGAUCACGAAUGAAAGACUAUGGAUCUCGGACGAUUAUGGAUGAUGAUUAAUGUUCGAAAUGACGACCCCGGAUGAUUUCGGAUUAGAUGAAAUGAUUCCGGAUGAAAAGUUGUUUGAUUGCGGAUGAUUGCGGAUGUGAAGUGGUUUGAUUGCGGAUGAUGUCGGAUGUGAAGUGGUUGUUGUUCCGAGAUGAUCUGAUGCUGUUGUCGGCUUGUCGGUUGCUGAUGAUGAUGUUUGAACAAUGACGAUGAAUGUACUAUGAUACUGAUGAGAUGAUGACUGAUGAUGUAAUGAAAUAUGAUGACUGAACAAUGAUGUAAGUUAUAAAAUUUUGAAGAUUGGAGAAAAUUUAACACU